UCGUGGGGCAGCAGGGGCGUAGCAAUACGUUCGCUGGCGACCGGCAAACGGGUGCGGAACACGUACACAACCUUCCUUAAAGUGGGGGAUAGCCCGGGGAAACCCGGAUUAAUACCCCGUAACAUAAUGAAGUGGCAUCACUUUAUUAUUAUAGCAGCAAUGCGCUUAAAGAUGGGUGUGCGACUGAUUAGGCAGUUGGCGGGGUAACGGCCCACCAAACCUACGAUCAGUAACUGGUGUGAGAGCACGACCAGUCACACGGGCACUGAGACACGGGCCCGACUCCUACGGGAGGCAGCAGUAAGGAAUAUUGGUCAAUGGACGCAAGUCUGAACCAGCCAUGCCGCGUGGAGGAUGAAGGUCCUCUGGAUUGUAAACUUCUUUUACCUGGGAAGAAAUCCACAAAUUCUUUUGUGGUUGACGGUACCAGGUGAAUAAGCACCGGCUAACUCCGUGCCAGCAGCCGCGGUAAUACGGAGGGUGCAAGCGUUAUCCGGAUUCACUGGGUUUAAAGGGUGCGUAGGUGGGUUGGUAAGUCAGUGGUGAAAUCUCCAGGCUUAACUUGGAAACUGCCAUUGAUACUAUCAACCUUGAAUACCGUGGAGGUCAGCGGAAUAUGUCAUGUAGCGGUGAAAUGCUUAGAGAUGACAUAGAACACCAAUUGCGAAGGCAGCUGGCUACGCGGAUAUUGACACUGAUGCACGAAAGCGUGGGGAUCAAACAGGAUUAGAUACCCUGGUAGUCCACGCCCUAAACGAUGGAUACUCGACAUACGCGAUAUACAGUGUGUGUCUGAGCGAAAGCAUUAAGUAUCCCACCUGGGAAGUACGAUCGCAAGAUUGA
rnacentral:rRNA from 1 species